rnacentral:misc_RNA from 1 species
UUAAAGAUUCUCGAGAAUUGUUUGGCAAAUCAGAAGCACGUUCAUCCAACACAGCUCCACUCUUGGAAUUUCUUGUCCAUCGUUUCCAUACAUAUUGAGAAGGAAGCGUAAGGACAUUUUUUGCUCUAAAAACUGCUAAUAUGUGGCGACAAAUUAUUCCUGUAUAUUCAAACAUUUGGCAGCUGCAGCUAGCUUUCAUCUCAAAAGAAUUGAAACUAACAGUAUGUGCCUUGUGUUCUUCCCCAAAUUUGGCCACGCGAUAUAUGCUGAUGGUUCCCAAGUCUUCAAUCUUGGUGGCAGGAUUAGCAAGAGUCUCAACCAAUUCUUCCUGGAAUUUCAUGAAGAUUUUUCUAGUAUAGAGGUUGGCAGCUUGUUUUUCCAUAGGCGAAGGUGUCUUCAGAACUGGCAUAGUGUUAGCAGUGUCAUAGUCUGCCUUUAACUCCUUUUCAUGCCAACUUGCCACAGCUUUUUCAUACUGUUUGAUCAACAUCUGUAUGGUGGUUGAUGCAUUCACAUAACCUUCAAAGAAUGAAUUUAUAUCUCGACUUCCAUCAGUCACAGAAAACUCACCAAAAAAAGUGUUUCGCAUAUAAACUGGGACCCACUGCUGCCUAGCAUUGUACAUAGACUGAAGCCAUUCAUUGUCCAUGACGUAGUACCUUUUCAGGAGUGACUGCCAAGACGAUUCAAACUCAUCAAUUGUCUCAGUCUCACUGAUGCACUUUUUAAAUUCAAUUUCGAAGGUUGGAUGUGAUUGGUAUAUAUGAGCCAUUUUCUCUUGGGUUUCUCUAAAUAUACCCUGCUUACUGUAUCGAUGGCGAGUUUCAGGAAGAACUUGUGCAACAGCCACCUGUAUGAGCCGAUCAGGAUCUGUUGUGAUAGAGACUGGGUGUUGUCCAGACAUUGCAUGAAGCCAAGUUUGGAAUAGCCAAAUAAAAGAGGACUCAGAUUCAUUGAGAAGUAGAGCACAGCCAAACAAUACAGGUUGCCCGUGAUGAUUUACUCCAGUGAAAGCUGCAAAUGGUACCCUAUACCGAUUUGUCCGGUAUACAGUAUCAAAGAAAACAGUAUCUCCAAAGUAAUUAUAGUUCAACUUGGAGUUUGCAUCUGCCCAGAAUAUAUUUCCAACGGAGUGAUCAGUGUCACUCUGAAUAGCAUAAAAGAAAGUAGGAUUCUCAUCUUGCGUUCUCUUCAAAUAGUCCAGCACAUGCUGAACCCCGCUCCCGAGGGUCCUCUGCCUGCUACCACUCAUCUAACUGUUACUCUAAUCGUAUGGUAUUGACGGCGAGCGAGAGAGGUUUUGCCUUUUAGGUCUUGAUUCUUGUUGCAAUUUUUGGUGACUCGAAACUCAUAAUUCUUGGUGAUAGUUUCUGCUCUGUAGGCCAGGAGAGGGAGGAAGAGAUGGUGGCGUUUUGAAAUCCGCCGUGCAGUGCAACCGAGGACAGGAGAGGAGAGGGGGCCGUGAAAUGGUGAGACUUGAGAGGAGGAUAUUCGC